AGGGAGGGUACAUGUAUAUAUACUUAUGGUUGACUCAAGUUAUUGUAUGGCACAAACCAACACAACAUUGUAAAGCAAUUAUCCUCUAACUAAAAAUGAAUUUUAAAAAUCAAACUAUUGCGGAAAAAAAGUUUUCAAGAUUAAAGGAAAAAAAUCAAAGUAACUGGUAAUUGACCCCGUGGACUGCAGCCUACGAGGCAGCAGCAGCAGAUGAGACUGGUCCUUUGGCAGAAACAUCAUUUAGUGUUGUUCUUGAAGAAGAACAUAUAAAACCCUUUACUAAUGCAGCUUAUGUUUAUAUUAGGAGCUAUGAUCAUAGAAACAUACAGGUACAAACACACACAUGCAAACUGUGUUCUGUGCUCUAAUCAUUUAAGAAAAAGAGAUUUAAGCCAGAGAAAAAGGAAAACAGAGACUUGGGUACAGAGAGAAUAUUUUAAGCUGAUCUAAUGAAGUGGAGUACUUAUUUUCAUACCAUUUUAACAUGCUUAUGCUAAAGAUCUUAUGGAGUUGGGAUGUAUUUCUGUGACAACAGGCACACUUCAGGGUGCGACCUUUGCAUACUUGCUCACCUGACUACGUGAAAUUAGCAUGGGCUCAGUGGAUGGAUGAGAAUCCCAAGCUGCUCACCUGGACACUGAUAGGAUUUCUGGUGAAGGACAAGAGCUUCCAUGACUGCAGUGUAACCCAGACCAUCACAGCGGUGUUUGUUUAUCAUUCAAGACUCCAAGUCUUAAUAAUAUAAACAUCAAAAUGAUCCCAGCACAGAAAGAAUUAAGACUCCAUCUACUUCCACCUUCCUCUUAGAAAUACCAAUAUUAAUAUUAUAGAAAAUCAAAGAAAGCUAGAUUGAAAUCCAAAUAGUGAAUUUGCAUCACCUUUUCUUCACUUUUGGGGGGAAAUAAUUAUUUUUACAACAUGUUUAUUGAACAUAUUUGGCUUAUAUUUACAAAAGGGGUUUCCCAGUGGGUGCUAGUAGUAAGAACCCACCUGCCGAUGCAGGAGACAUGACAUGCAGUUUGAUCCCUGGGUCAGGAAGAUCCCCUGGAGAAGGACAGGGCAAUCUGCUCCAGUAUUCUUGCCUGGAGAAUCCCAUGGACAGAGGAGCCUGAUGGGCUACACUCCGUAGGUCAAAAAGAGUCAAACACAACUGAAGUGACUUAACAUACAUGUACAUAUUUACAAAACAAAAACACUGCUUUCAGGGGCUAGAUUUAAAAAAGAAAAAAGAUGCAC
ensembl:lncRNA